rnacentral:tRNA from 1 species
GGCGGUAUAGCCAAGAGGUACGGCAAGAGAUUGCAAAUCUUUUAUCCUCAGUUCAAAUCUGAGUACCGCUU